ensembl:lncRNA novel transcript
CGAGGACGCCGAGCUAUGAGAGGAGGGAGGGCGCGCGAGGCCGAGUGGGGAGCUUGGAGCAGCGGGAAGGUCAGGGGCGCCCAUCUGCGGCACUCUCGGUUUGGCUCAGUUUCUGCCUACAAGUGUCUGUGCGUGUGAGGAGAAAAUAAAGUCAUGAGCUCAUCACCA